GGAGGGGUGGCAGAGUCUGGCUGAUCGCGGCGGUCUUGAAAACCGUUGAGGCGCAAGCUUCCGGGGGUUCGAAUCCUCUCCCCUCCGCCA
rnacentral:tRNA from 1 species